rnacentral:rRNA from 1 species
UUACUUUCUUUGCUGGCGACCGGCGCACGGGUGAGUAACACGUAUCCAACCUGCCCUUUACUCGGGGAUAGCCUUUCGAAAGAAAGAUUAAUACCCGAUAGUAUAAUGAUUCCGCAUGGUUUCAUUAUUAAAGGAUUCCGGUAAAGGAUGGGGAUGCGUUCCAUUAGGUUGUUGGUGAGGUAACGGCUCACCAAGCCUUCGAUGGAUAGGGGUUCUGAGAGGAAGGUCCCCCACAUUGGAACUGAGACACGGUCCAAACUCCUACGGGAGGCAGCAUG